GACAGAGGAUGCCAGCGUUGGUCUUCCUUAUUGGGCUUAAAGCGCGUGUAGGCGGCCUCGCCAGUGCUUUGUGAAAGUCCCCGGCUCAACCGUGGAAUUGCAGGGCAUACUGCGCGGCUUGAGGUCGGUAGAGGUGGCCGGAACUCUAGGUGGAGCGGUGAAAUGCGUAGAUAUCUAGAGGAACGCCGGAGGCGAAAGCGGGCCACUGGGCCGAUUCUGACGCUGAGACGCGAAAGCGUGGGGAGCAAACAGG
rnacentral:rRNA from 1 species